rnacentral:misc_RNA from 1 species
AAUUCUCAACUCCCCUCGGAUUCCAUCUGUAGGGUGAGCUUGGACUUGGAGGUUUCUGCUGGCGUUCGCCGGCUCCUCUUGAAAUCAUUAGCUUUGAGUUGAUCUCGAUGGCUUGACCGGUGUGAUAAACAUCUACGCCGAUUUGUGCCGUCCUGAGCGAUGAACAUCGGAGACGCUCUGGCUUAUAACUGUCUUAACCAGAGGACGACGCCCUGAAC